rnacentral:sRNA from 1 species
AGGCAGGUACCAACAGGGCCUGAUUUGAGUAGGGGGAGGCAGGUACCAACAGGGCCUGAUUUGAGUAGGGGGAGGCAGGUACCAACAGGGCCUGAUUUGAGUAGGGGGAGGCAGGUACCAACAGGGCCUGAUUUGAGUAGGGGGAGGCAGGGGACUUGUUCAAAAGUUUUAAUAGAAUCCACUUUUAAUAACAAUAUUUGUAUCCAAAACCAAAGCCAUAUUUAGACAUUCUAUAAUAUUCAGAAAGGGAUGUAUCUAAAAUACUAACAGUGCCUGUAUACUCCAUUGGAAUUACACCAAUAAACCUUGUUACAUAGACAUUCAACAUGACACAAGACAAAUACCAUUGAGUACAAGAUCAAUGUAACUUUGAACAAUUCAUAAAAAAAAGGGAUCCACUGUAUAAUGUAUUUCAGCAAAUAUCAUUUGUAUAAGUGACAGCACAAAUAUAAACAACUGAAUUAUUUUCUAAGGUCAGUUAAGACAGCAUGCAUAGAUCGUAAAUAGGACAAAUUUGAAAAUAUAGCUGGCAAUAAGACACUUACAAUAGAGAUCAGAAUUUUUCCAGCAUUAGAAAAGAAUUCCCUAAGAUUAACAGGUUUUGUAGGAAACAGAAAUAAAUUCACAUA